rnacentral:lncRNA from 1 species
UUUCAAUCAACACUUUCAUCUGCUAUUUAGUCAACUUCAUGGAGAUCUACUUUACAUACAAUAAACCACAUCCGUGUAAAGUACACAAGCGGUCGGAGGAUUUUCCACUGUGUUGGCCAAACGUCACCGCCUUUGCCCAUCACCUGCCAGUGGGUGCCUGGGCUGCUCCCAGUUCCUGGUGACUGGAUGGAGCUGCGGCCAAGGUCCUGGCACAUGUCAUCAUGUGGACAUCUGUCUUCAUUUCUCUUGGGAGCAGAGUGGCUGGCUCACAGGGAGGUGCACGUUUAACUUUCUAAGGAACUGCAGCCGUCUUCCACAGUGGCUGUGCUGUAUACCCUCCCACUGGCGAUGUGGGUGCACGCAGGGUGUCCGUGCAUGUGCAGGAGUAUCUCUGUGUCGUUACAAUCUGCAUUUCCCUGAAGACUAAUGAUGGCAUCUUUCCAUGUGUUUAUUAGCCACUUAUAUAUCUUCUUUCUGAAGUGCC